UACAGAGACUGCAAGCGUUAUUCGGAUUCACUGGGCGUAAAGGGUGCGCAGGCGGCCAAGUGUGUUAGGCGUGAAAGCCCGGGGCUUAACCCCGGAAUUGCACCUAAAACUACAUGGCUAGAGCAUUGGAGAGGGUAGCGGAAUUCACGGUGUAGCAGUGAGAUGCGUAGAUAUCGUGAGGAACACCAGAGGCGAAGGCGGCUACCUGGACAAUUGCUGACGCUCAGGCACGAAAGCGUGGGGAGCAAAAGGG
rnacentral:rRNA from 1 species